ACUGCAAUGCUGUCUCUGUGGCGCAAUCGGUUAGCGCGUUCGGCUGUUAACCGAAAGGAUUGAUGGCGUCCACAGCGACCACAGGCAGCAAGCGCGUCGGAACGACUCUGCUUCCUGCGCCGGUUUCCGCUGUUGACUAUUUGAGCGCUGGACCAGCACCGGAAAGCUUUGGAGGCCGGACCGCAGAGGUUGUCUGAAGGCCGAGGCCAAGAUGGCGGCGCUGGCGGCUCCUGGCCUGCUCUCUGUGCGGAUCCUGGGCCUUCGG